rnacentral:rRNA from 1 species
UCAGACGAUGCGUCAUGCAUAUCAAUAAGCGGAGGAAAAGAAACUAACAAGGAUUCCCCUAGUAACGGCGAGUGAAGCGGGAAGAGCUCAAAUUUGAAAUCUUAAAGGGUUUCCCUUUACGAAUUGUAGUUUAAAGAAGUGUUUUCUGUUGAGGUUUUGGUAAAAGUUCUUUGGAAUAGGACAUCAUAGAGGGUGAGAAUCCCGUAUUUGACCCUUACUUUCAACUUUGUGAUACACUUUCAAAGAGUCGGAUUGUUUGGGAAUGCAGUCCAAAAUGGGUGGUAAAUUUCAUCUAAAGCUAAAUAUUGGCGAGAGACCGAUAGCGAACAAGUACCGUGAGGGAAAGAUGAAAAGGAACUUUGAAAAGAGAGUUAAACAGUACGUGAAAUUGUCAAAAGGGAAGCGUUUGACACCAGUGUUGUUUUUCUGAAAAUCAAUUAAAGAACUGUUUAUGCUAAGUUGUUUAGACUUUAUCAGCUAUACUGUUUAGUUUUGAGCUUUUCUUUAAUGCACUUUUCAGUUAACAAGUCAACAUCAAUUUCUUUUGCUGUAAAAAAGCUUGAGGAAGGUGGCUUGAGAUUCGUCUUAAGUGUUUAUAGCCUCUUGCCUAUGCAGUCGGAGAGAUUGAGGUCUGCAGCGUAGAUCCUUCGGGGUUAAAUGCAUUUGUGCUAAGUUAUAGCAUUUUAUAGACAACUUGUUGACUAUGAUUUGUCUUGUAGCUUACUCGCUUAUGUUAUUUUACCUACGCUUAGGAUGUUGACACACGCGCGUGCUCG